UCUUUUAAAAAUAAAUCUAGUAAAAGGGAUUAUUGUGGGGCAGGCCUCUGGCCUGUGCUAUACAGGAGGUCAGACUAGAUGAUC